rnacentral:rRNA from 1 species
UACACUCCUGCGGGAGGCAGCAGUGGGGAAUAUUGCACAAUGGGCGCAAGCCUGAUGCAGCCAUGCCGCGUGUAUGAAGAAGGCCUUCGGGUUGUAAAGUACUUUCAGCGGGGAGGAAGGCGAUAAGGUUAAUAACCUUGUCGAUUGACGUUACCCGCAGAAGAAGCACCGGCUAACUCCGUGCCAGCAGCCGCGGUAAUACGGAGGGUGCAAGCGUUAAUCGGAAUUACUGGGCGUAAAGCGCACGCAGGCGGUCUGUCAAGUCGGAUGUGAAAUCCCCGGGCUCAACCUGGGAACUGCAUUCGAAACUGGCAGGCUAGAGUCUUGUAGAGGGGGGUAGAAUUCCAGGUGUAGCGGUGAAAUGCGUAGAGAUCUGGAGGAAUACCGGUGGCGAAGGCGGCCCCCUGGACAAAGACUGACGCUCAGGUGCGAAAGCGUGGGGAGCAAACAGGAUUAGAUACCCCUGUAGUCCCAU